rnacentral:rRNA from 1 species
UACGUAGGGGGCUAGCGUUGUCCGGAUUUAUUGGGCGUAAAGAGCGUGUAGGCGGCCAUACAGGUCCGUUGUGAAAACUGGAGGCUUAACCUCCAGACGUCGAUGGAAACCGUAUGGCUAGAGUCCGGAAGAGGAGAAUGGAAUUCCUGGUGUAGCGGUGAAAUGCGCAGAUAUCAGGAAGAACACCCGUGGCUAAGGCGGUUCUCUAGUACGGUACUGACGCUGAGACGCGAAAGCGUGGGGAGCGAACAGG